GUUGUAAUGAAAAAUCUGUCAAAGGAGCAUCGGUGUCGUUUCACAGUUUUCCUGGAGAUGAAUUGAGGAAGAAGUGGACUCUAUCUGAGGCGGGAAAGUUUUGUGCCAUCCAAGCAUUUCAGAAUUUGUUCUAAACACGUCUCCCAAGAUUGUUUUGACAAGGAAGCUUGUUCCAACUGUUUUUGACUUUCCGGCACAUUUACAGCCUAAAAAUGCCAAGAGGAAAGCACCUACCGAGAGAAGCCAAAUUAUGUCUCAGUCGCAUGAAAACGCCACCACCUCGCAGCAAUCCACUACCAAGGAUAUUCAUACAGUUGGAAAAAAGUUAAGAUUGGCAUAUCUAGGUGACUUCAAUGAGAAGAACCUGACUUCCCAGCAGAAGUAAGAAGUGCCUUGGUGCUGCAAAGGAAAUAAGAUUAAAAUACCGUAAGAAACUGAAACUCCUUCGUCAGCGGUGUAAACGAGCCACUGCAAAAAUAGUGAGCCUUCAGGCAGUUAUAUCGCAUCUGCAGGACAAGAAACUGAUGGGUGAUGUUGCUGCAGAUACACUACAGAAAUAUUUGCCACCUGCUGUUGCGGAUCUCAUCCAGCGAUGGAAGAAGGGGCCAACCAGAGAAGCCUAUCCUCCAGAGCUGAAGACGUUUGCUCUGACACUGAAUUUCUACUCGGUAAAUAUGUAGUUCAGCGGUAUUUGCGAAAAAAAAUGUUAAAAAUCUGAAAAUACUUUUAUUGUAUGCUCUUCAACUUCCUCUUUUCAUUAAAAGCGGCGGAGAUAAGAAAUUCCAAAUACUUUAGGAGAUAUCGCCGUUCUUAUUUUGCUAUACAUAACCUGUGUAAUCAUUCGACCGUCGCAAUUUUUUAUUGCCAUGUGUUUUUGAAUGCCUAAUUAAUGUAAAUGGUCGAUUAGGUCAGGUCAGUUACAUUAUAAAUACAUUGAAACUAAGCGUACAUAAAAAAUAAUAUGAAUUAAUUUCAAUGGUUUUUUAGUUUUAAAGUAUUUAUAAUGUAACUGACCUGACCUAACAAACCGGGACAAAGGAUGAACAGUAACAACUCACGUAAAAUUUUUUUGUUACUUAUUACUUGCGCAACAAUAUCCAAAUAACAAAUAAGACUUUAAAAUUAGAAACGUUAAAAACUCACCUAAGUUGGAGGCGGUAAUUAAACACUGUUUUAAACAAUAAAU